GACGAACGCUGGCGGCGUGCCUAAUACAUGCAAGUUGAGCGCUGAAGGUUGGUACUUGUACCAACUGGAUGAGCAGCGAACGGGUGAGUAACGCGUGGGGAAUCUGCCUUUGAGCGGGGGACAACAUUUGGAAACGAAUGCUAAUACCGCAUAAAAACUUUAAACACAAGUUUUAAGUUUGAAAGAUGCAAUUGCAUCACUCAAAGAUGAUCCCGCGUUGUAUUAGCUAGUUGGUGAGGUAAAGGCUCACCAAGGCGAUGAUACAUAGCCGACCUGAGAGGGUGAUCGGCCACAUUGGGACUGAGACACGGCCCAAACUCCUACGGGAGGGAGCAGUAGGGAAUCUUCGGCAAUGGACGAAAGUCUGACCGAGCAACGCCGCGUGAGUGAAGAAGGUUUUCGGAUCGUAAAACUCUGUUGGUAGAGAAGAACGUUGGUGAGAGUGGAAAGCUCAUCAAGUGACGGUAACUACCCAGAAAGGGACGGCUAACUACGUG
rnacentral:rRNA from 1 species